rnacentral:rRNA from 1 species
GACGAACGCUGGCGGCGUGCCUAAUACAUGCAAGUAGAACGCUGAAGGAGGAGCUUGCUUCUCUGGAUGAGUUGCGAACGGGUGAGUAACGCGUAGGUAACCUGCCUGGUAGCGGGGGAUAACUAUUGGAAACGAUAGCUAAUACCGCAUAAUAGUAGAUGUUGCAUGACAUUUGCUUAAAAGGUGCAAUUGCAUCACUACCAGAUGGACCUGCGUUGUAUUAGCUAGUUGGUGGGGUAACGGCGCACCAAGGCGACGAUACAUAGCCGACCUGAGAGGGUGGUCGGCCACACUGGGACUGAGACACGGCCCAGACUCCUACGGGAGGCAGCAGGAGGGAAUCGUCGGCAAGGGACGGAAGUCUGACCGAGCAACGCCGCGUGAGUGAAGAAGGUUGUCGGAUCGUAAAGCUCUGUUGUAAGAGAAGAACGAGUGUGAGAGUGGAAAGUUCACACUGUGACGGUAUCUGACCAGAAAGGGACGGCUAACUACGUG